GACGAACGCUGGCGGCGUGCUUAACACAUGCAAGUCGUACGGUAAGGCCCUUUCGGGGGUACACGCGUGGCGAACGGGUGAGUAACAAGUGCGUAACCUGCCCACCACUUUGGGUUAACGCAAGGAAACUAGUGCUAAUUCUUGAUAUGUACUCCUGCUGCCUGGUGGGGGUUGGUAGGAUCCGGCGGGUGUGGGUGGACUUGCGGCCUGUCAGCUUGUUUGUGGGGUAGUGGCCUACCAAGGCAGCCACGGGUAGCCGGCCUGAGAGGGUGACCGGCCACAUUGGGACUGGGGUACGGCCCAGACCCCUACGGGGGGCAGCAGGUGGGAAUAUUGGACAAAGGGCGCGAGCCUGAAGCAGCAACGCCGCGGGCGGGAUGACGGCCUUCGGGUUGGAAACCGGCUUCAGCAGGGACGAAGCUGUGUGUGACGGUACCGGCAGAAGAAGCACCGGCUAACUACGUG
rnacentral:rRNA from 1 species